rnacentral:rRNA from 1 species
CAGUAGCCGCGGGAAUACGUAGGUGGCAAGCGUUGUCCGGAAUUAUUGGGCGUAAAGGGCUCGCAGGCGGUUUCUUAAGUCUGAUGUGAAAGCCCCCGGCUCAACCGGGGAGGGUCAUUGGAAACUGGGAAACUUGAGUGCAGAAGAGGAGAGUGGAAUUCCACGUGUAGCGGUGAAAUGCGUAGAGAUGCGGAGGAACACCAGUGGCGAAGGCGACUCUCUGGUCUGUAACUGACGCUGAGGAGCGAAAGCGUGGGGAGCGAACAGGAUUAGAGACCCGUGUAGUCCCUGUCUCUUAUAC